AGUAACACGUAUCCAACCUGCCUCUGACUAAGGGAUAACCCGGCGAAAGUCGGACUAAUACCUUAUGAGGUUUUCAGCAGACAUCUAAUGAAAACGAAAGAUUUAUCGGUCAGCGAUGGGGAUGCGUCCGAUUAGCUUGUUGGCGGGGUAACGGCCCACCAAGGCAACGAUCAGUAGGGGUUCUGAGAGGAAGGUCCCCCACAUUGGAACUGAGACACGGUCCAAACUCCUACGGGAGGCAGCAGUGAGGAAUAUUGGUCAAUGGGCGAGAGCCUGAACCAGCCAAGUAGCGUGCAGGAUGACGGCCCUAUGGGUUGUAAACUGCUUUUAUGUGGGGAUAAAGUGAGCUACGUGUAGUUUAUUGCAGGUACCACAUGAAUAAGGACCGGCUAAUUCCGUGCCAGCAGCCGCGGUAAUACGGAAGGUCCAGGCGUUAUCCGGAUUUAUUGGGUUUAAAGGGAGCGUAGGCCGUGGAUUAAGCGUGUUGUGAAAUGUAGACGCUCAACGUCUGAAUUGCAGCGCGAACUGGUUCACUUGAGUAUGCACAACGUAGGCGGAAUUCGUCGUGUAGCGGUGAAUGCUUAGAUAUGACGAAGAACUCCGAUUGCGAA
rnacentral:rRNA from 1 species